rnacentral:rRNA from 1 species
GAUGAACGCUGGCGGUAUGCUUAACACAUGCAAGUCGAACGGACUCUUCGGAGUUAGUGGCGGACGGGUGAGUAACGCGUGAGAAUCUGGCUUUGGGUUCGGGACAACCACUGGAAACGGUGGCUAAUACCGGAUGUGCCGAGAGGUAAAAGAGAAAUUGCCUGAAGAUGAGCUCGCGUCUGAUUAGCUAGUUGGUGAGGUAAAGGCUCACCAAGGCAGCGAUCAGUAGCUGGUCUGAGAGGAUGACCAGCCACACUGGGACUGAGAUACGGCCCAGACUCCUACGGGAGGCAGCAGUGGGGAAUUUUCCGCAAUGGGCGAAAGCCUGACGGAGCAAUACCGCGUGAGGGAAGAAGGCUCUUGGGUUGUAAACCUCUUUUCUUAGGGAAGAACAAAAUGACGGUACCUAAGGAAUCAGCAUCGGCUAACUCCGUG